GAGAGAGGCUGUGAAUUUGCGUUUGUCGGCACCGGUUGGAAAAUACUGUAACAUUUCAACUGGAGUUCUUUUCGCGGGCCAUUUACGUCUCAUCCACUCCAAAGAAAACGAGCCCAGUCUCUACAAUCCCAUCUCAUAAAUUGAGUAUUCGAACUCAGGCAGUCUGCACCCUGUCCAGUGCAGCCACGUCUGUGCUCUGCACUACCCUCUUUCGUCCUUCACACUGGAUCACCUCUGUUCUAUGAGACUGUAACUGGAAUAUUGCGUCUGAUCUCCUCACCAAAAGGAAGAAUAUAUUUUCGAUAGAACAACUGGAGUGAAAAUUCACCAAACUGCUUCUCAGGAAGGUGGGAUUGUCCUGUGAGGAGUGAGU